rnacentral:rRNA from 1 species
AUUGAACGCUGGCGGCAUGCCUUACACAUGCAAGUCGAACGGCAUCGCGGGAAAGCUUGCUUUCCUGGCGGCGAGUGGCGAACGGGUGAGUAACACAUCGGAACGUACCGGCUAGUGGGGGAUAACCCGUCGAAAGACGGGCUAAUACCGCAUACGCUCUUCGGAGGAAAGCAGGGGACCUUUGGGCCUUGCGCUAGCCGAGCGGCCGAUGUCCGAUGAGCUAGUUGGUGGGGUAAAGGCCUACCAAGGCGACGAUCGGUAGCGGGUCUGAGAGGACGAUCCGCCACACUGGGACUGAGACACGGCCCAGACUCCUACGGGAGGCAGCAGUGGGGAAUCUUGGACAAUGGGGGCAACCCUGAUCCAGCAAUGCCGCGUGGGUGAAGAAGGCCUUCGGGUUGUAAAGCCCUUUCGGCAGGGAAGAAAUCGGCGGGGCGAAUAACCCUGCUGGAUGACGGUACCUGCAGAAGAAGCACCGGCUAACUACGUG